GGGUGCUGGGCUCUGGAACUCAGCAGCCAACAUGAGGUGGCAUCCCUAUCUUCUGCUGGACAAGGAUGACAAAGCCAGAGUAUCCUUAAUAUCCAUUUUAGAUUUCCGCCCCUGGGAGGUGGCAAAGGGCCAUGUCGUAGAGGCAAAGCUGACUCACCACCACCAAACACGUCAUUUCCCUGUGGGCGCCCAGGAAGGUACCUUUUCCCACAUGCAUUGCAGUAGGUAGGACCGUAUGACUGGAUUUGACCAGUAGAAUGUGGGUAGAAGUCACACAUGCCGCUUUUAGACCUGAUUCUUAAAGCCUCCUACAUAAUUUUCCAUGCUCCCUCAUCCAGCAUCUAGGGACCAGAUGCAGAGGCUCCAAAAGGGGACUUUCAGGGGACAGCAGAGUUGCCAGAAUUUACCAGAAGAUGAGAAGACUGAGGCUCAGCAAUGUCUGCCAAUAAGUGGAAGAGUUUGGAUUCGAACCCCAGUCUACCUGAUUACAAAGUGGAAGUUCUCAAUCCCUCCUCCCUCCUCCCUGAUCUACCCUGUGACAACCACGAGCUUCUAGUGGAAGAUUCAAUAAAAGAACAAGGCAUUAAACUCAACAAACGGAUGUCUGACUUCAGGUUUCCUACCAGUCUUUCCUGCAUACCUCCUUCACUCAAAGAACACCUCCAUCUUCUCACCUGUAGAACUGGGCUAAUUUUCAGUGCAACAUAAUUUUCAGUGAAACAUCAA